ACUUGAUAAAAUAGGAGAUAUCAGUAAAUUAUUGCUAAAAAUAAAACAGAAAGUUUGGUUAUGUAAACCAGUCAAAUUCAGUAGUAUUUUAUUUAGGGUUGCAAACAAAUAUAAAAAAAGUCCCCUGCAAUUACCCCAUAUUUCGGGAGUUUCAAGCUAUUUGAUAUUUCCAGCUUUCCGACGGAGGAUGAAAUUGUUAAAGAAUGGAUUGCGGGAACUGGAAAAUCAAAUUGGAUGCCUCACAAAUACUCGCGUAUUUGUUCCAAACAUUUUGAACAACAUUGUGUCCGCAAACUGGGCAAACGAACUUUCAUCGAAAAGUUUUCUUUUCCAACCUUGUUCAUGCACGAGAGGAGAGAGAAAAUUCUUUUCUUCAUGUCAUGGAAAUCGUCCAUUCGUGCACGUCGUCGUCGUGGCAGUCUCAACAGCAUUCUGAAGCUAUUAUUGAACUUCAUAUAAUUGAUCCACAGGUUACAAGUGUAUGUGUAAAUAAAGUUUUCUUGACCCCCACAGUAUGUACAACGCGCAUCACGUAAGAUUUUUUAUUUAAACAUAAAUAUUCGGUUUUAAGUAACAGUUUUAAUGUAAAUGACCAUGUUAGCUUAAAAUCAUAUACUGCGUAUCAACUGAGGUGUCGCUCAAGCACACCGUCAAGAACCUUCGCUGCAAUAGGGUUGUUUCCAUUUUGAAAUGCUUGUAUUAUAUAAUAUAUAUAUAUUUACCAAAUUAUGGCCUAGUAUUCAAUUUAUUUGUGUUGUUCUCAAGUAAAAGGUACCGCAUUAUCGCUUAUCAUAAGAACGCUCUUACAGGUUGUACGUAUCGAGAGCAAGCAAAUUGUAUCCUUAUGGUAAGCGACUAUGUGGUACCUUUUAUUGAGAACGACACAUUUAAUUAUUAUUUCUAGUAAGUACAGUUAUAAUAAUAUAAGUUUUGAAUAAAGAAAUUACCUCUUUUGAUA